GGUGUGGCAGCUGGUGUUGUGAAUCAGGCCGGCGCCAGUCUCAGAACGGCUCCUUCACAACACCAGGGUCACCCCCCGCCACUG
rnacentral:pre_miRNA from 1 species